CGGCCCCCAGGCAUCCACGCCAACCGAACAUAAAGAAGCCGCCGCUCACCUCCCCUUCCUCUUCCAUCGAUCUCCCACUUCUUCUCCCACCUAGCCGCCUCCGUCAUUGACCUCGUCGGCUCCGCCGCCGGCGAGGCCCCGUAUAGCCGUAGACCUGUCGCCCAUGCAUCCUCUCAUCCCGAAUCUACCCUUCGUCCUGCCGACGAACCGUGUAGCGGCCGCUUCCUGACGGUCCUCAGAACCCUAGAUCCCCGCCGACACCCCGUGCUCCCCCCUCCCCUCCCCUCCCAUCUUCCGGCGUCGUCCCGUCGCCGCCAGGGAAAUGCCCCGCUGUCUCCGGUAAGAUCCAGCCACAAAGACUCCAGCUUUCCGAGGGUGCCGCGACGUGAUGGCGAUCCGCAUGACCGUCUCCUACUCCGGCUACGUGGCGCACAGCCUGGCCUCGUCGUUCGGCCUGCGCUGCACCACCGCCGCCGCCGCCGGGACAGGGGCGGCGCCGGGCGCCGGGUGCCGCUUCCUCCAGGACGCGCUCUCCCGUCCCUUCUGCCUCUUCGCCUCCUCCCGUCGUGUCGAUCAACCACAUGACGGCGAAGACCACAACCACCCGAAGCCCAAGCCCCCCAAGACAAAGGCUCUUCCGGCCACGGGAGGCAGCCAUUCGGCCAAGGCUCUGCCUGCAGCUGGAGGCCGUCACUCGGUCAAGGCUCUGCCUGCCGCCGGAGACAGCUACAUGCUGUUUGCCUCGUCUAAGGCGCCGGUGAAUGAUCCGCCGGCGUCGCUGGCGGUGGGGUUGCUGUCAGUGCUUGUGUCCGGGAUGGGUUCGACCACUGGCAUCGGGGGCACAUCGUCGCUCUUGGCAUCGCCGUCGAUAUCAUCCGGGUUGAACCCUGCCGCACUCCUACCAUUCUUGCAGGCGACCAAGUGGCUUCCUUGUAGCGACAUCAUCACUGGUGCGCCACCCCGCAGGUCGGUACGCCCAGCCGAAGUGACAGUAGCACCCUCACCUGUGCCUUCACGUGGCCCUUUGCCUGUACCCUCACCUGCGGUGGCUGCUCCUUCCAAGAUGGGUGUGAAGGCUUUGCUUGGCAGUAGCGGUGCGGUAGGCGUCGCUUCCAAGGUGGGCGCAACGGCAUUAGUUGGUAGUGGUGCAGUAAGCUCUGGGGCUGCUGGAAUGGUGAGAAAUAGCAGUGCUGCUCUUGGUGGUGGUUCAGGAGUGAGCAGGAGGAACAACUGGCUGUCAAGGUUGAUGACCUCCUGCUCGGAUGAUGCAAAGACUGCCUUUGCUGCAGUUACUGUACCUCUGCUCUAUAGAUCAUCCCUAGCUGAGCCGAGGUCCAUUCCUUCGAAGUCGAUGUACCCAACAUUUGAUGUUGGUGAUCGGAUUCUUGCUGAGAAGGUUUCAUACAUUUUCCGAGAGCCUGAAAUUUUGGACAUCGUGAUCUUCCGUGCACCUCUAGUCCUUCAGGCAUUGGGCUACAGCUCAAGUGAUGUGUUCAUCAAGAGAGUUGUGGCCAAGGGCGGGGACGUCGUUCAAGUAAGAUUUUAUCCCAAUGGUGAUUGAUGGUGAAUUAUUGGUCAAUGGAAUAGUCCAGGAUGAAGAAUUCGUGCUUGAGCCACCCAACUAUGAAAUGGAUCCAGUGAGUAUACCUGAAGGCUAUGUGUUUGUGCUCGGGGACAACAGAAACAACAGCUUCGAUUCUCAUAACUGGGGACCACUACCUGUGAAGAACAUUCUUGGGAGAUCUGUACUUCGGUACUGGCCACCAUCGAGAAUAACAGAUACGAUAUAUGACCAUGAUAUGAUUCAUGGCACAGCAGGCAUCUCCUGAGAUGUAGUUCCUGUGGCAAUGCGAAACCAACCUAUUUUUUGGCAGAGCUUCACUGAUGAGCUCAGCCACAUUUUUUUGCCCCUCUAGCUAUUUAUUCGAUCGAUGUCGCCUUGCACGUAAUGCCCUCUGGUUGCUUGGCUGACUCGGUUUUUCCCUGCCCUACUAGCAGAUGCUUGUUUAAGGUCAACAAUUCUUGUACUGUAACCAAAGAAAGGAGUCACCUGUGCACCAGAAAAAAACCCAGAUCAGUGGGCAUCCAUGGCAUGGAUCUCGGCUUAGAACCGCAUGGAAAUUUUGUCCUGUUUCUGAUCUUAUUAAUCUAAAAGAAAGAUCAGUGGGCAUCCAUGGCAUGGCUCUAGGCUUAGAACCGCAUUGGAAAUUUUGUCCUGUUUCCGAUCUUUAUCUAAAAGAUAUUUUUAGCAUGACAUUUGUUCAUCAUGUUCCUUCUGUAGCUUUGUUGUUCUCUUUGUGAUCCUGUAUCUCGGAUGAAAUUACCCAUGACCAAUUGUAAAGAUCGUUUCACUUUCAUGAAUUUUAAUGAAGAAAUCGGUACUCCCUCCA